UCAAUUGUAUCUAGUGGUCUUGUUGAUUCAUGGAUGCGGAUAUUUGGAGAAUCAAAACCAUUCGAAGAUGAAAAAAUGAUGAAUGUCCGACAACGUUGUGCAAACUUGAUUCUUGAACUAAUAGAAAAUGCUUGAAGCACUUGUAUCAUUUUAG